rnacentral:rRNA from 1 species
UACGAAGGGGGCGAGCGUUGUUCGGAUUUACUGGGCGUAAAGGGCGCGUAGGCGGCCUUGUCAGUCCGGCGUGAAAGCCCCGGGCUCAACCUGGGAACGGCGCUUGGGACGGCGAGGCUGGAGUUCGGGAGAGGAGAGUGGAAUUCCCAGUGUAGAGGUGAAAUUCGUAGAUAUUGGGAAGAACACCGGUGGCGAAGGCGGCUCUCUGGACCGACACUGACGCUGAGGCGCGAAAGCGUGGGGAGCAAACAGG